CAUCCGGAGGAAGGUGCAUCCUCAUGGAUCUCCUAGGCUGUAGUUUGAAAGACCUACUAAUCAAGCAUCAGUCAACAAGAUUCUCAUUAUUUCUGGUCAAGAAAAUUAUUCAUGAUUUGCUCUCUGCUGCUAUGUUUUUAGAGGAAAUGGGUAUAGUACAUGGUGAUAUUAAACCAAGUAAUAUUUUGUGGAAUAUGAACACAGAAUGUUUUCAGUUGAUUGACUUUAGUGUCAGCUUCAAAUUAAGGCUCUCAAAUAGAGUUCAACAACCUUUGCAAAGUAUGGGGUAUCAGGCACCAGAAGUUGUAGAGUGGAACAAGGUGAUGAAAGGUGCUACUGUCAGCAAUGAGCAGGAUCUUGAUUCGUCAGUGGAUAUUUGGUCUAUUGGAUGUGUGCUUGUUUAUGUUACCACUGGUCAACCUUUAUAUAGUAAUGAACAUGCAUCUCAACUUCCUAGAUUAUGCACAAAUUGUGAAUUAAAAUGUUCUCCCUGUGUCCAUGCAUUAAAAUCAACAGAAAUUAUAACAUCGAUAAGAAAUGAACUUCCUAUUCACGAAAGGAAUAUUUUAACACAUAUCAUUUCUGGAUUUUUACAAUGCCACUCUUACAAUCGUUUAUCUCCAGCCUACGUUCUCAAUCAUCCUUUUUUGUUGACAAGCCCCUCUCCAGAUGCAAGCAUAACAGAUUUGCUAUUACUUCCAACAAGGGUUCUCCGUCUUCUUAAUAUGUUUAAUGAAACAAAAUCCGAAGUCAUUGAAGAUAUUUUAUUGGAUAUCCGUGAAGAAUGUGAGCGAUUUGGUGAAGUUGUGUUAGUAAAAACAAGCAAAGUGAAUAGCGAUGGAUAUAAUGUUUAUGUUGAAUAUCAAAAGGCUGAGGAUUGCUGUGAAGCGCAACAUUUAUUGACAGGAAGAUAUUUUGAUAAUAAAUUUGUCGUUGCCACUUUCCUUCCACUGCAGCACUUUAGGGAGAAUCGUUUCUAUUAGAGAAAUUAUUUGUAAGAUGUUUAAGCCUGUGAUGGAAGACAUUAUUGACUGUUGUGUGAAUAUUGCCCGGAAAUAUUAAAGCAGAAGCACACAUUUUAGGGUGUGGGGAGGUGUGACACCCCCACCCCAUCUUUUACCAAAUAUGUCUUAAAAGUCGGUCUCAAAAUGUGUAUGGGGCAUCAAAAAGACGGUCUGACUAAAAUUUGAAAUACGGUAACGUUUUGUAUGGAAAACGGCGAACAGAUGUGUCUUUUGUUUUGAGAAUGGAAAUUACAUAAAACAACGAAAAUUGUUUACAACUGUUUAGGUCAAACAUAGAUAUUAAUCAUGUCAUACUAGCACCGAAAAAUAAACUUUCGUGCCGCAACAGUCAAUCACAACUAUCAGAUUACACCUAGUCAUCAAGGCAGCCUUGGAAAUAUUUAGUUCUCUUUCAAAAAAUGUUUUGGGUUAUUUAUAGUUCAGACAUUGACGAAUGUUUGUAUGUAUCUGCCAAAGUAUGUCACACAAAUGCAAGUUGUAUUAAUACGAAUGGUU
rnacentral:misc_RNA from 1 species